GUUUAAUCUAUGCAUGAUUUCAAAGCCAAUGUGCUUUUUCAUGAUAAUAUGGUAUUCAAAUACAAAGCUUUGAGGUAUUUAUUCACUUUUUUGUUGUUCUUAAUAUUCUAGGGAUUGUUUUAAGGGAGGGCAGAAAGUGGAAGGGUUCGCUCAUGGGUAAGGGCUCCAUUAACAUGGACAAGAUAAGGAAACAUCCAGAAUGUCCAGAAUAUGAAAGGUGAACAUGAUAGAUGACAAGCUCUAGAGCCUUCUCCAAGCACUGUAGAGAGGUUGAUGCAGAAGUCAGAGGAAGGUGAGUUCCCCAAGCCAUCCGUGUCUCUGCUAAAUCAGUAUCUGUCAGAGCCCAGCAAGCAAGAGAGAAAUGCUUCAAGGAGGACAGACCUCUCAAGGUUCCCUGUAGUCUGCAGGUGAAGCCCUCAACCAGCAGGAACGCAUUUUGCAAGGACCCACGAAAGGUAGCAGAUGGGCAGCAGGCAGAAUUAUGGCUCCCUUUCUACUUCCACAGUAGGAUUUAAGUGUCAAGAAAGGGGAAAAGUGUCCAGGAAAAUUGCUUCUCAAGACAGACAUUGAGUGUCUGGACUGGAAACUUGAUUGGAGAUUAGAGAGUCAAGUCUGCUGGCAGGAUAUUUUGAGUCACAGAGAUUCUCAGACAAGGUGAGGAGGCUUUGUUAUGGCACAGGAAAAUCUUUCACCAUUUGAGGAGCAGGGUCUCUCCAAGGUGUUCCAUGGGAACAUGCUUCCUCUACUGCCUUCCUCCUCCUUUCAUUUCCUCUUGUCCUCUUUGUUUGCUUGUCCCAGGCAAGGUUUCUCAAUGCAGUGUUUGUGUUCUGCACAGCCUGGGGAAUUCCCCAAAGCUGUGUGCAUGGCUAAAGUUAGAACAAGUGAAGAGAGCAAAGAACCAAGAAGGCCCAAUCACCAUCCAUACUGAUCAACAAAGAAGUUCUACAUUUUGUUUGUUUGAUACAGGAUCAUUUGCAAACAUGCAGGAAGACACCUACAGUGCAGAGUAAUAACAAGUGACAUAUGGGGAGGCACAGUGCUCCCAGGGAAGCUAAACAGAGCACUUUCCUCCUGGCUGCAGCAUGUCAGAAUGUGGCAGUACUGCAUUUAUACAUUCCUGACUGAAAACUGGUAUUUCCACUGGUACAAGCUACAGACCUGGGCAAAAUGGUGAGAUGAGUUUCUUAUAUUUUUAAAUUUUUCCCCCUUUCCUCCUUUCUCAUUGCUCAUAAGCACCAGUGCCAUUGUGCUCUCCAUCCUUUCUCCUCUAACUCAAAAAUAACCUCAGCUCCUUUGGAGAUAGUUAUUAAUUAAUUGAUUGAACAAAUAACCACCAAAUAUUUGCUCUGUGCCAAGUACUGGGUUCUAUUUUCAAUCAUCAACAUCAGGAAACACCAGUGAAUUUGAUGGACAAGUUUCUCCCAACAGACCUUUUUUCUUCCAACUCUGGGCUUAAAAAAAAAUCCCCAAAAACCUUCCUGAAAGAAGUGAGUCUAAUUUCCUGGCUACGCACAGCAAUCGAAUCAGCGCUAUUAAGUUUGCUAAGCAAACAACAUUCCGGGAGUGUUUCAUUUCAUUAAACUGUUAUUCCAGUUUGGAAAGCACUGGGGUAAGGUGAAGGGAGCAGAUAAAAAAAAACUACAGGAGAGAAUUUGAGUCAGUUCUUUUUUCAGUUUCCAGGAUUUGCCCUGAUGAGAUAGUUAUAAACCACUAGCUUUCAGGAGUGAUGGGGAGGAAGGCUUAGCAAGGUAAUUCUGACAUUGCAAUGGCCCAAGAGAAGCACAUUUCCACCAUGGGAUUUACUAUGUCAAAGCUGGGUGACUGAUCAUUCUGCUCUUGUAUCAACUGUUUGUUAGCUUCCUUCUGAGCUACAGGUCAGGGCACACUCUAAACAGUAGGAGGAAUAUGAAUUCUGGCAGAGACUGUGGGUUCCACAGGGUAUCCAAAUCUUUAAAGGAACAGAUGAAUAUUUGCAUAACCUUCCGCCUGGAAGACAGCAGGCAGUGUUAA
rnacentral:lncRNA from 1 species